CAGCAGCCACGGGAAUACGAAGGGGGCUAGCGUUGUUCGGAAUUACUGGGCGUAAAGCGCACGUAGGCGGACAUUUAAGUCAGGGGUGAAAUCCCGGGGCUCAACCCCGGAACUGCCUUUGAUACUGGGUGUCUAGAGUAUGGAAGAGGUGAGUGGAAUUCCGAGUGUAGAGGUGAAAUUCGUAGAUAUUCGGAGGAACACCAGUGGCGAAGGCGGCUCACUGGUCCAUUACUGACGCUGAGGUGCGAAAGCGUGGGGAGCAAACAGGAUUAGAUACCCCGGUAGUCCCUGUCUCUUAUAC
rnacentral:rRNA from 1 species